UCCAUUUCCGGCAAAUCGGGGGCAAGCGGGGAACGGAAGCCCGCCCCUUUGGGCCGACAGUCGAUCCGCACUCGCUCUCCGACAAGGUCUUCGCGGUGUGCGAUCCCGUGUCCCGGAGACACGUGCUUCUCCCACCGCUGCCUCUGGAUGACACGGCCCUCCAGGCCCAGCACGGCAAGCUUAUUGAAUCCAAUCAGAAGCUCGUCCCCAACGGCGGCGGCGGCGACGAGGGCGAGACGGCGUUUAAGGUGAUCUGCUGGGCGAACUGCCAGAGCAGGUUAGUUUUAUUGGUCUUCUCUUCCGCCACUGGACAGUGGCGUGUGCAUGCUUCUCCCGACUGGGGAUCAUUUGUCAAAGUUGAGGAGCCCGCUUCGAGGUUGUUGUCCAAUUUUACCUACUUUGGUGGCCGCUGUUACUGGACGUCGUCGCCUUGGAGUAACAAGGUGCUUGUGCUGGACACAAGGAAUAUGGAGUUCUCCAGUCUCAACAUCCCUUUCAGCAACCAUAUGCAGCUCAUAAACAUGCCUGACCGCAUCCUUGAUAUGACUUCCAUUGUUGUGCCUACGGAAGGAACCCUCGAGAUGUUUACUCUCGUCAAGGAUUUCAGUCAGGAUGUCUCACCUUAUCUCUAUCAUACCACCCAGCAAACGAGUGGCGACUCUUCCAAUGAAUGUCAGCUCAAAACUGUUAUAGAAUUGCCUCCUGGAGCUUGCUGUUCUACUGUGGGUGCAACUGAGGGAUUCUUGUUCCUUCGAUACCUUCGAGAAGCUCAGCAGGAUGAAAGGUGGGCAGCAGAUUCAUUGGGGAAUGAUUAUGUACGACUUAGUUCCGAUAGAGAAGAUCUCUUUUCGUUGGAGGUCAAAACUUCUGAACUUAAGAAGGUCUAUGGAGGAGCACCAUAUCGCCUUAAUGCAGUGAAACCUGUUCACGCGUACUUUGGCUUCCCACCACCAUUGUCCAAACCGAGUUUAUGAAAUGUUUAUGCAGUGAAACCUGUUCACGCGUACUUUGGCUUCCCACCACCAUUGUCCAAACCGAGUUUAUGAAAUGCUUUGGCAAAGGUGGAAAAAAGGACUACCAGCAAAGGGACUAGAGAAAAAGAUUAGACGAUUGCAUUAUUGGAUCCAACCAGCUAGUUGAAGCUAGCUAGUAUUUCAGUCUCUUCCCUGCCACAAUCUCUGAAAUUAACUCCUCCGGAUGAGCCUAGCCCUGCAUGUAAUAUCAGGAGCAAUAAAAAGGGGAAGAUUGUCCCUCUAAUUAAUUAUAUUCGUUGUAAUUCUACAAUAUAUUGUACUCGUGGCGGAUGUGAUGAUGUUGGAUUGUUUGUAUUUAGUUUACUUGUGUUAGCAAAACCAGGAGGUAUGG